GAUGAACGCUAGCGACAGGCCUAACACAUGCAAGUCGAGGGGCAGCGCGGGAGAAGCUUGCUUUCCUGGCGGCGACCGGCGCACGGGUGCGUAACAGGUGUGCAAUCUGUCCUAUACCAGAGCAUAGCCCAGCGAAAGUUGGAUUAAUUCUCUAUGAAAGCUCCGGCGAUGAAGGAUGGGGAUGCGUUCCAUUAGGUAGUAGGCGGGGUAACGGCCCACCUAGCCGACGAUGGAUAGGGGUUCUGAGAGGAAGGUCCCCCACACUGGAACUGAGACACGGUCCAGACUCCUACGGGAGGCAGCAGUGAGGAAUAUUGGUCAAUGGGCGGAAGCCUGAACCAGCCAAGUAGCGUGAAGGAUUACAGCCCUACGGGUUUUAAACUUCUUUUAUAUAAGAGUAAUGUGCACUACGUGUAGUGUAUUGCAAGUAUUAUAUGAAUAAGCAUCGGCUAACUCCGUG
rnacentral:rRNA from 1 species